rnacentral:tRNA from 1 species
GCCCGUGUAGCUCAGCUGGAUAGAGCACUUGGCUUCGAACCAAGGGGUCGUGGGUUCGAAUCCUGCCGCGGGUACCA